UACGUAGGGCGCAAGCGUUAUCCGGAAUUAUUGGGCGUAAAGAGCUCGUAGGCGGUUUGUCGCGUCUGCUGUGAAAGACCGGGGCUCAACUCCGGUUCUGCAGUGGGUACGGGCAGACUAGAGUGCAGUAGGGGAGACUGGAAUUCCUGGUGUAGCGGUGAAAUGCGCAGAGUAUCAGGAGGAACACCGGUGGCGAAGGCGGUUCGUCUGGGCCUGUGACUGACGCUGAGGAGCGAAAGCGUGGGGAGCGAACAGG
rnacentral:rRNA from 1 species